UCUUCUCACAGCCUCCAGCGGGUUCGCGGAUGUCCGCGCUGCCCUCCGGGGACCCCUGGCCGGCCCAUCUUGGGCAGCAGGCGGCCGGGCUUGGCGAGAAGGGCAGGUGCCAGGGGGCGUGCCAGCCAGUCGGGAAAAGGUGCCAGGGGGGCGGGGAGGACCGGGCAGGUGGCGGUGCUUCGACGGCGGCGCCCUGCGAGGGCGGGUCGCGCUCACCUGGGUCAUGAGGCGGUCGGCGCCCGUGUUCUCCUCGUCCUUGAAGAUGAUGUCGGGAUUGUAGUUGGGGGACACAGUGGUGGUUCAGGAUCUCAAUCUCAAAUUCAGAUCUGCAUCCAUCCGGUCGCCUUCAGUGGAAGGAGGGUGGGGAAGAGGCCCUCCUGCCACUUGCCCAGAUCAAUCUUGCUCUAAAUCCAUGGGAGCCAAGCCACAACCAGACAAGUUUCAGUAAUGCAGUUAGUCGAAUACCUGCUGGUGACUCAGGGCACAGCAGCCCCAGCUCAUGGAAAGAGCACCAGGCCUGGAACUGGCCGAUCUGCACCUGAACGUGGUCUCUGAUACCUUCUACCCACGUGGCCUCGAGGAACAACCUCCCAGACCAUCACUGGAAGUGGGAUAAGGAAGAAAAGGAGUCAAGGUCCUUCACUCCGUACAGGAAUGGCAGAGAGGAAGUAUCAAGGGAAGAUGUGAAAGACCAUGACUCUCUUCCAGAAAUCCGUCAUCUGGCGGCCUGGUCACACAUAUCCUCCAGUACGGUUAAGGCAGCGUCUCAAUGAGGUGACAAGUCAAGGACGUCUGGCUCGGGGGCUGCAGGAAAAUGCUUUGCCUAGUUCAAGUUUCACGCACUCAGCUUAACAGACUUGUGAUGGCUGGAGACGGAAGCAAGGGCAAUAAAAAUGAGAUGAAGGCGUCCGGUAUCCAGGGGUCCCAAACCUGGCUGCGCUUCGCAAUCUUGGAAAGGACCCAGAAUGCCUUCACCUGUGCAGGCAGACUGUCCUGGUUCCCGGCCAAGCUAGCCGGCCUCGGAGGGAAGCCGUGCCAGUAGCUCACAGUGCGCCCACCUGAGAACCCUGGGUGGACCCACAGCUCGCGUCAAGGGCACGUGCUCUGUGCUAUAAAGGCAUUCGUUUCUGAGAAGCCGCUGAGGGAGAAGGAUGAAAGAGAGAAAGCAGGAGAAGCAGGCAAGCAGCUGCUGAACCACAGUCAGGAUUAUCUCUCCCUAAGGAUGGUGAGAGCGGAAACCCUUGUCGAUCCCCAGGAAACGCAGCAUGCACUUGUGCUCCGAGCCUGGUCCGUCAGGACUCCGUCAGGCUUGGACUUUCACUGGAAACCACAAAUAAAGUCAGAACUUUGCUUCUGACCAGCGAUCACCGCAGGAGUGAAAGGGCCCCGAGGA